AAGGAAAGGACUGUGACCGGAGGUGUUCGCCACGGGGCGGGCGGGAGAGUGCAGUGCCGGAGGUCUGAGGCCUGAGGUUACUUCGAGAAACGGGAAGAGCACGGUGUGGCUGAGUCUUUCCGGAAAAGAGGCCGCGCGCGGACGUCGGCCCGCGCCUCUGUUCCCCAGAGGUUUCCAGGCGUCCUCUGGCCGGAUCCCAGUGACGUCGUGCGAGGGGCAGGGCUGGACUGCGGGUUCCGCGCGCUUCAAUUUAAAGUCACGUUUGGGACGCUUUGCAGACUGAAUCGUCAAGAGAUAAUGGUUCUCGGGGCGAUUCCGCCACCUUCCAGUCUGAUCAGUGGCAGCUUUACUCUAUUGGCUAUCAAGCGGGCUGACCAGUGAACUCGGGGUUGCUUGUCCCUGAGCCACACCGGGGAGUGGAAUCGUCAGAGUAUCUCAAGAUGUGACAGGAGUUUCACAAGUAAAAGGACGCUGAGGAAGAAAGAUGCAGCUUUUGGAAAAAGGAGAGAAAUAGGUAACUGCUUCUAUAAGGGCAAUUUGUGUGCUCAUUCAUAAGGUGAUAGCCGUUUUGGUUCACCUCUGCUAACAUUGCUAGACACAGGAUAGGAAGAGUAAGAUUGUCCCGAUCUGUGGGAGCUUCUGUGGGAGCUUGCGCUGUGCCAGUGAGGGUGGGAGAGGUUCAGUUAAUAGUCCGCGUGAUGGUGUAAUGUAAAAGGUAUUGCAGAAAUACAGAUGAGGUAACAGUUCUAAUUGGGUCAGGGAAGACCUCAGAGAUUUGAACUCCAUUCAGUCGGAGGACAGAUUUUUCCUGCAGACUGGAAAAGGACACUCCAUGUAGAGAAAAGCAGCAUUAAAUACUGUGUUGAAAGUUUUCAAA